rnacentral:rRNA from 1 species
GACGAACGCUGGCGGCGUGCUUAACACAUGCAAGUCGAACGGAAAGGCCCUGCUUUUGUGGGGUGCUCGAGUGGCAAACGGGUGAGUAACACGUGAGUAACCUGCCCUUGACUUUGGGAUAACUUCAGGAAACUGGGGCUAAUACCGGAUAGGAGCUCCUGUUGCAUGGUGGGGGUUGGAAAGUUUCGGCGGUUGGGGAUGGACUCGCGGCUUAUCAGCUUGUUGGUGGGGUAGUGGCUUACCAAGGCUUUGACGGGUAGCCGGCCUGAGAGGGUGACCGGCCACAUUGGGACUGAGAUACGGCCCAGACUCCUACGGGAGGCAGCAGUGGGGAAUAUUGCACAAUGGGCGGAAGCCUGAUGCAGCAACGCCGCGUGCGGGAUGACGGCCUUCGGGUUGUAAACCGCUUUCGCCUGUGACGAAGCGUGAGUGACGGUAAUGGGUAAAGAAGCACCGGCUAACUACGUG